GCCCAGGUGGUGGAAUUGGUAUACGCGGCGGACUCAAAAUCCGCUGGUGGCAACACCUUGAGAGUUCGAGUCUCUCUCUGGGCACCA
rnacentral:tRNA from 1 species